GAAAACCCAGUAGGAAAAUGGAGAAGAGAUUUGAAAAGAUAACUUCUCAGAAGAGGAAACAUGACCCAGAAAUCCCAUAUCUAGGCAUAUAACCCCGAGAGAAUCUCCUUUCUGGUUGGAGGGAAUGAUUGCUGUGGUGAAGCUCACAAGGGUAGAUGACAAGCUUGAAUUCUGGAGAGAACAGUAAAACCAGAAAAGUAAAUGAAUUCCCUAAGAAAACCACAUCAAACAGAUACUGUUGUUUCCUUCAAAGCAGUUACACUGAUUUAUCCUCCCACAGAUAGAGAUUUGGUAAGAGUCUGGCUUUAUUUUGAAGUACAGAAAUCAUGUGGAGCCAUUCGAGACAGACAUCACUGAAGUGCACGCUCUGUCAAAUCAAUACUGCAUCGCAGCUUGGUCCAGUCAAGAAGCCACACUUGGGAUACAAAAGAAGCUUCUACGUUUACCUGCUAUACCACAGGUUUCUUUCCCCCUUGCUCUCAUCAGUUUUAUCAGGUGACAAUUGUGAAUAAAGCUGCUAUAAAUACUUGUGUGCAGACUUUUGUGAAGAUAAAAAUUUUCAGUUCAUUUGGGUAAAUAUAGAGCAGCACAACUGCUGGAUCAUAUGGUUAAGAGUGUGUUUGAUUUUUUUUUAAAUUAUGUUAAUCACCAUACAUUACAUCAUUAGUUUUUGAGGUAGUGUUCCAUGAUUCAUUGUUUGUGUAUAACACCCAGUGCUCCAUACAGAAUGUGCCCUCUUUAAUACCCAUCACCAGGUUAACCCAUCCUCCCACCCCCCUCCCCUCUAGAAACCUCAGUUUGUUUCUCAGAGUCCAUAGUCUCUCAUGGUUUGUCUCCCCCUCUGAUUUCCCGCCCUUCAUUCUUCCCCUCUUGCUAUCUUCUCCUUCUUCUUCUUCUUUUUUUAACAUAUACUGUAUUAUUUGUUUCAGAGGUAUAGGUCUGUGAUUCAACAGUCUUACACAAUUCACAGCGCUCACCAUAGCACAUACCCUCCCCAAUGUCUAUCACCCAGCCGCCCCAUCCCUUCCACCCCCCACCACUCCAGCAACCCUCAGUUUUUUUCCUGAGAUUAAGAAUUCCUCAUAUCAGUGAGGUCAUAUGAUACAUGUCUUUCUCUGAUUGACUUAUUUUGCUCAGCAUAACACCCUCCAGUUCUAUCCACGUCGUUGCAAAUGGCAAGCUAUCAUUCCUUUUGAUGGCUGCAUAAUAUUCCAUUGUAUAUAUAUACCACAUCUUCUUUAUCCAUUCAUCUAUUGAUGGACAUCUUGGCUCUUUCCACAGUUUGGCUGUUGUGUUUGAUUUUGAAAGACACUGCCAAAGUGUUUUUCAGAGUGGCUAUACAAUCUUGCAUUUUCAGUAGCAAUGAAUAGAAGUUCCUGUUGCUCCACAUCCUCACCGAGAUUUGAUGUCAGUGUUUUGGAUUUUAAUCAUUCUAAUAUGUGUGUAGUGGAAUUUAAUUUUUUAA